rnacentral:rRNA from 1 species
UCUUUGGAGAGUUUGAUCCUGGCUCAGGACGAACGCUGGCGGCGUGCCUAAUACAUGCAAGUCGAGCGGACCGAACGAGGGCUUGCUCUUGUUUGGUCAGCGGCGGACGGGUGAGUAACACGUGGGCAACCUGCCCGCAAGACCGGGAUAACUCCGGGAAACCGGAGCUAAUACCGGAUAACA